rnacentral:tRNA from 1 species
UAAAGUAAAGCUUUUUAGUCAAGCGUUUCACUUACGUUGAAAAGAUUUACCGUGCAAGUCGGUUUGCUUUAA